UCCUACGGGAGGCAGCAGUGGGGAAUCUUGGACAAUGGGCGCAAGCCUGAUCCAGCCAUGCCGCGUGAGUGAUGAAGGCCCUAGGGUCGUAAAGCUCUUUCGCCAGAGAUGAUAAUGACAGUAUCUGGUAAAGAAACCCCGGCUAACUCCGUGCCAGCAGCCGCGGUAAUACGGAGGGGGUUAGCGUUGUUCGGAAUUACUGGGCGUAAAGCGCGCGUAGGCGGAUUGGAAAGUUGGGGGUGAAAUCCCGGGGCUCAACCCCGGAACUGCCUCCAAAACUCCCAGUCUUGAGUUCGAGAGAGGUGAGUGGAAUUCCGAGUGUAGAGGUGAAAUUCGUAGAUAUUCGGAGGAACACCAGUGGCGAAGGCGGCUCACUGGCUCGAUACUGACGCUGAGGUGCGAAAGUGUGGGGAGCAAACAGGAUUAGAUACCCUGGUAGUCCACACCGUAAACGAUGAAUGCCAGUCGUCGGCAAGCAUGCUUGUCGGUGACACACCUAACGGAUUAAGCAUUCCGCCU
rnacentral:rRNA from 1 species